GACGAACGCUGGCGGCGUGCCUAAUACAUGCAAGUUGAGCGCUGAAGGUUGGUACUUGUACCGACUGGAUGAGCAGCGAACGGGUGAGUAACGCGUGGGGAAUCUGCCUUUGAGCGGGGGACAACAUUUGGAAACGAAUGCUAAUACCGCAUAAAAACUUUAAACACAAGUUUUAAGUUUGAAAGAUGCAAUUGCAUCACUCGAAGAUGAUCCCGCGUUGUAUUAGCUAGUUGGUGAGGUAAAGGCUCACCAAGGCGAUGAUACAUAGCCGACCUGAGAGGGUGAUCGGCCACAUUGGGACUGAGACACGGCCCAAACUCCUACGGGAGGCAGCAGUAGGGAAUCUUCGGCAAUGGACGAAAGUCUGACCGAGCAACGCCGCGUGAGUGAAGAAGGGUUUCGGAUCGUAAAACUCUGUUGGUAGAGAAGAACGUUGGUGAGAGUGGAAAGCUCAUCAAGUGACGGUAACUACCCAGAAAGGGACGGCUAACUACGUG
rnacentral:rRNA from 1 species